CGAAUCCUUUCCACCAUUUUGCUAUUCGUUCCUCGAUUACGAAAGACAUAAGAUUGAAACGAGCGUGCUAAUUAACGCGUUUUCGUCCAUCUACCGGAUCUUUCUCGAAACAUCACAUUACUCUAGUAAUUUAUGUUGAAUAUGACCACGACUUUAUUUUUAUUUUUAUUUUAUUUUUAUUCAAAAGAUAGAUGUAUUUUUCUUUCUUUUUGGAAUAACAAAGUUGCUCUAAUAACAUAAUAACAAUUGAAAAUGCACAGAGUGCAUCGCACGUUACUAUUCACUAGUGGAAAGAAGACUCGCGGGACGGCAAAGGGGCAAGAGGGAUCCAUCGCUAGGACCGCCUAUCCCCACUUCAGACGCUUUGUUGACAGUCCUAACCCUACAUAGUAGCAGAAUUGAGCAUUAACUCGUUAAAAAAGUAACUAGUUAAAAAUUUCAAAUAAAGUUACUUGAAAACACUGAGCGGUGGAGGCCGAUAGAUGGCGUUGGAGUGGAAUUAGCCGAGAGGGCGUCCUGGUGUGCAGUGUCGAAACGAAAGAGCAAAGUAACAUCGUUUUACGACCGCUUCGUGAUUUCCCUUUCGCGGGGCGAAUAAGUCAAUCGAUUCCGUACGCCGAUUCGACGUACGAUGUUGCCGUUUAUUUUCACUUGUGUACACGAUCCCGUGAACACGGAUGAUCGAAUCGAUUUGCGAUCGAUGGCCCAUAAAGCUUGUUCUCAAACCGUACGCGGCUCACCGACUAACAACGCGUGUCCAAUUAAUAUUACAAAUAAUCGCCCGUUUAUCAAUACGUCCUAAUUUAUUUUUAUUUUCGUUUCGUAAGCUUCGUAGCAUCGCACUCGACUACAGCGGCAACCGUCGUACGUUUCAUUCAUUGUAAACGAACCGAUGUUUUUGUUCAGUAGUUUUGGAGAGUGAUUCUAUGGGAUUAAAUUCAUCGAAAUUCGAAAGUAUCUCGUUGAAAUUUUCUUUCGAUGAUAUUGUAUUAAAUUGUUUUAAAAGAUUUUAAAGUUUUAAAGUAAAGAGAAAUAACGUUGAAAUUGAAUGAUAUACACAUCCGUUAUAAAUAAAUUAACGUUAUUAAAUCAUAGUGUUGUUAUAGUAUUGAAUAACAUCGAAUGUGUUAUUUAAUUGAUUCUUGUUAAUACUGUGGAAUUAAAUUUAUCGAAAUUCGAAGGUAUUUCGAAUAUUUUCUUUCAAUGAUAAUUUUAAUCUACUUGUUGUGGCGCUGUCAGUUGCGUAAUAUAUAGCGGUGUUAAAUCAUUUUAACGAAGUAAAUACAUUACAAACUGACGUUGUUAUCUACUAUAUUAUUUAUUAUAUAUAUAUAUAUCAUAUAUAUAGCAUCGAAUAUGUUGUUCGAUAAAACUGAUUUGGAAAUAAAUUUACCGAAAUUCGAAAGGUA